UAACUUGUUAGCAGUCAUGUCACCAAGUU
rnacentral:piRNA from 1 species